rnacentral:ncRNA from 1 species
CCAGUUUGAUUCUGACUGUAAAAUUAACAUCAGCCAACCAACAUACAUGUAAAAUAUUUUAUACCCGCACUAAUAAAACACCUAAAUGAUUUAUAACUGUAUUCAGAUAUUCUCAAUACAAUAGAGCGCCACAGUAAAUAACACUUUUCAAUUUGAGAAAUCAGGAAAAGGGUAUGGUAUAAGGGCUGGCAAAAUUCGUGCCAGCUGCCGCGGUUAGACGAAAAGCCCAAGUUAAUAUAAUAUAAACUAAAUUAAUGAUAAAAUAAAAAAUAACAAAGGUCUAAUUUUCAAAAUCUAUGCACCCCACUUAUCAGAUAAAAAUGAAAUCAUGAACUAAAACAUGGAUUAGAUACCCACCUAUUCAUGACAUAAACCAUAGUUGAAUAUUACGAACAACAGUUUAAAAUUCAAAGAUUUUGGCGGUGUCUUAUAAAACCAGGGGAACCUGUCUCAUAACUCGAUAAUCCACGAACACCAAACCCCCUCUAGAAUUUCAGCAUGUGUACUGCCGUUGUAAGCAUACCUUUAAAAGAGUAAGUGUGCUACUAUGACCCAAAAGACUCAUAUACAUCACGUCAAAGUGCAGCCAAUAAGGGGGUGAUGAUGGGUUACAACCCUAAAAUAGACUAUCAAAUAAGAAAUUAAAAAUCUUACGAAAGUGGACUUGGUCGUAAUUAAUUUAUAUAAUAAAAAAAUGAAUAUAAAUCUAAGACAUGCACACAUCGCCCGUCACUCUAUCCAAAAGGUUAGAUAAGUCGUAACAAAGUAGGUGUAAUGGAAAUUGCACCUGU